GAUAAACGCUGGCGGCGUGCUUAACACAUGCAAGUCGAACGAAGUUUUUCUUUCGGGAGGAACUUAGUGGCGGACGGGUGAGUAACGCGUGGGUAACCUGCCCUGUACAGGGGGACAACAGCUGGAAACGGCUGCUAAUACCGCAUAAGCCCUUAGCACUGCAUGGUGCAUAGGGAAAAGGAGCAAUCCGGUACAGGAUGGACCCGCGUCUGAUUAGCCAGUUGGCAGGGUAACGGCCUACAAAAGCGACGAUCAGUAGCCGAUCUGAGAGGAUGUACGGCCACAUUGGGACUGAGACACGGCCCAGACUCCUACGGGAGGCAGCAGUGGGGAAUAUUGCACAAUGGAGGAAACUCUGAUGCAGCGACGCCGCGUGAGUGAAGAAGUAUUUCGGUAUGUAAAGCUCUAUCAGCAGGAAAGAAAAUGACGGUACCUGACUAAGAAGCACCGGCUAAAUACGUG
rnacentral:rRNA from 1 species